AAUACCAUCAGUUACAGUCUCAAAAGUAUAACAAGAUUAGAUUUUCAAAAAAAUUGUCUUAAAAAUUUGUGAUAAAAAACGGAAAAACUCUAAUAUUAUUUAUAUAUUCACAGGUACCGAAGAGGCAACACAGUGGUAAGCCAUUUCAUAAUUCUGUGAGGAACCUCAAACUUCCUGAAAUCAGUCGCAGCGUCCCUGAUCAGCCAUGUCGUCAGGUGGUGUGCAAGGUGCGACAAAGGACGCGGGAGCAGGAGGGAAGGCCUUCAAGGCCAGUGAUGGGGACUGGAUCUGCUCCGAUCCACAGUGUGGGAACAUGAACUUCGCUCGCAGAACAUCCUGCAACAGAUGUGGCAAAGACAAAGAUUCCAAGGCUAAAGUCAUCCGGACUGGAGGUGUGGAGAUUGGGAAGGCUGCAGCAGAGAAGAGUAAAGGCUUGUUUAGUGCUGAUGACUGGCAGUGUAAAACGUGUGGGAAUGUGAACUGGGCCAGGAGGAAUGAAUGUAACAUGUGCAAGGCACCAAAAUAUGGGAAGAUGGAAGAGCGGACAGGAUAUGGAGGUGGUUAUAAUGAGCGUGAGGAUGUGGAGUAUGUGGAGAGAGAAGAGUCAGAUGGAGAGUAUGAUGAGUUUGGGAGAAAGAAGAAGAAAUUCCGAGGUGCGACCAGCAAAGCUUCUACUCCUCCCAGGCAGGAGACUGGAGGGAAGGAUGAUGAUGAUGAUGAUGAUGAUGAUGAUGAUGAUGAUAAGGAUGAUGAAGAUGAGGAGGAGGAGGAGGGAGAUGUCUCCAAAUAUGACUUGGACUCAGAUGAGGAAGAGGAUGAUGCAGACCUGUCCAAGUAUCAGUUGUCAAGUGAUGAGGAAAACUCCCAUCAAGGGAGCCACCAUUCAAGUUCUGGCUCCAGCUCCCGGUCCAGCCGGUCCAGGUCCUCCAGUUCUGGCUCCAGGUCCGGGAGUUCCGCCUCAGCCCGAUCACGGUCCAGGUAACAUGGUAGAAUGGUCCAGGUCUAAACACGGUGAGAAGCGACGCCACUCGCAGUCUCGCUCUCGGUCAGGGAGCAGAAAACGUAAUCGGCGCCGCAGUGGCUCAGGAUCCCGCUCCAGCUCUGGGGAAAGACGUUCCUCAUCUAGCUCCUAGCUCCCAUUCAAGCUGCCCAGUCCUCCUUGUUAACAGCUCCGAGUGGACAGCUACAUGUAGAGGUUUCUGUGUUGUUGUUGUUUAAGGUGGGGAAGCCUGACAGGUAGGACAUUGGUAUGUAUUACAUGUAUGUAACUAGUGACAUGGUCAGGACUGAGGGUACAGGGGUACUCUUGCACCAACAUUUGGCCUUGAACUGAAGGCUUCGUGUCCCAAGAACAGGUUUAGUCUUAUCUUUCAGAGGAAAGAAAAGUAGAAAGCAAAAAACACAGUAUCAAAGAUUUAUUAUACUUCUGUUAUUACGUUAUCAAUUGUAUAGUUUUAUGUAUCAUUGAAACACAUAUCUAGUGCCCUUUACAAUACAAUGAUAGCAUAUUUGUUAUCCAAAUUCAAUCUACCUUACCUGACCAAGAGUGUAGAGUGUGUCACAAAAUAAAGAACCUGGCGUGGAAUUUCCCUGCCAAUUAAAUGUCCAAUUUAGUUGGCUGGCAAGCUUACACAAACCACUUACAAAAUUAAUCAUUGUGCUCAUUACACAAAAUUGUGAUCAUAACAAAUAUAGGACCAUUCUAAAGGAAAUAUGAAAGCUUUUUAACCAUGUAAUAUGCAAUGCUUAGGCCACACCAAUUUAAUUUGUUGCUUCUUUUUUCAGAAAAAUAUUGGGGUGGUUGGUCGGAAAAAAA